rnacentral:rRNA from 1 species
CCUACGUGAGACAGCAGUGAGGAAUAUUGGUCAAUGGGCGCGAGCCUGAACCAGCCAAGUAGCGUGAAGGAUGACUGCCCUACGGGUUGUAAACUUCUUUUAUAAAGGAAUAAAGUGAGGCACGUGUGCCUUUUUGUAUGUACUUUAUGAAUAAGGAUCGGCUAACUCCGUGCCAGCAGCCGCGGUAAUACGGAGGAUCCGAGCGUUAUCCGGAUUUAUUGGGUUUAAAGGGAGCGUAGAUGGGUUGUUAAGUCAGUUGUGAAAGUUUGCGGCUCAACCGUAAAAUUGCAAUUGAUACUGGCAGUCUUGAGUACAGUUGAGGUAGGCGGAAUUCGUGGUGUAGCGGUGAAAUGCUUAGAUAUCACGAAGAACUCCGAUUGCGAAGGCAGCUUACUAAACUGCCACUGACAUUGAUGCUCGAAAGUGUGGGUAUCAAACAGGAUUAGAUACCCUAGUAGUC